rnacentral:lncRNA from 1 species
AUGUAAAAUUAUAGAAAAAAAAUUAUUUGAGAAUAGAUAAAAAUUAUUUCUUUCUAUUUUCAAAUAGAGAUCAAGCAUUCAUGAUAGUGUUCAUAGAGAUGAAGGCUUGACUACCAGGCUUUUUGGAGAGCGGAGGUGCAUUAAGAUUGACCAUGAGAUGGUUCAAUCUAUGAUGUACCUAGAGUUAGACCCAUAGAUCAUCCUGUGGCUUGAAUGAUUUUUUCUAAAGUCCAUAACUAUUAGAUUCUCUUUAUAUGCUCUUAUAUGCUGGUAGAUAGAUUUAAAGAUUAGAUUGCAUAUGAUGGAUGAUAUAUAUAUUUAGGAUGUGCAUGAGACCUAAAUCCUUCAUGUAAAUUAUAUUAAGUCAUAAUGGUGAAGUGUUAAGAACACUACCCAUGCUUUCCUUCAUACUAAGCU